rnacentral:rRNA from 1 species
UACGAAGGGGGCUAGCGUUGCUCGGAAUCACUGGGCGUAAAGCGCACGUAGGCGGCUUUCUAAGUCAGGGGUGAAAUCCUGGAGCUCAACUCCAGAACUGCCUUUGAUACUGGAGAGCUUGAGUCCGGGAGAGGUGAGUGGAACUCCGAGUGUAGAGGUGAAAUUCGUAGAUAUUACGGAAGAACACCAGUGGCGAAGGCGGCUCACUGGCCCGGUACUGACGCUGAUGUGCGAAAGCGUGGGGAGCAAACAGG